GCCUACGACCAUAUCACCCUGAAUGCGCCCGAUCUCGUCUGAUCUCGGAAGCUAAGCAUGGUCGAGCCUGAUUAGUACUUGGAUCAGAGACUGCUUGGGAAUACCAGGUGUUGUAGGCU
rnacentral:rRNA from 1 species